rnacentral:rRNA from 1 species
UGGGAGGGCAAUAUUUGCGCAAUGGGCGAAAGCCUGACGCAGCAACGCCGCGUGGAUGAUGAAGUUCUUCGGAAUGUAAAAUCCUUUUGCAGAGGAAGAAAAUGCUGGUUUACCGGCACUGACGGUACUCUGCGAAUAAGCCACGGCUAACUCUGUGCCAGCAGCCGCGGUAAUAAAA